rnacentral:rRNA from 1 species
GUUAUUCAUGGAGCGACCGUAGAAAACACUCUAUUUGAGGACGGUGAUGGUGCAAAUACCUUCCGUGCUUUUAACCCAACUCAAGCUGAAGAAACUUAUUCAAUGGUCACUGCUAACCGCUUUUGGGCAGAAGUUUUUACUGGUUCUCCAGGAAAGUAUGUUGCUCUUGCGGAAACUAUUAGGGGAUUUCAACUAAUCCUUUCCGGAGAAUUAGACGGCCUACCUGAACAGGUGACGUCAAAGUACCAGUGA